GUCCCUGUUGGUCGGUCCGCCUUCUUGGUGUGUACUUACUCAACGGGGACUUACCUUCUGGUGAGCUGCAUGCCCUUUACUGGGUGUGUAGGGAACCAGAACGUUUACUUUGAAAAAAUUAGAGUGUUCAAAGCAGGCCUACGCCCGAAUACAUUAGCAUGGAAUAAUAGAAUAGGACGCGCGUUCCCAUUUUGUUGGUUUCUGAGAUCGCCGUA
rnacentral:rRNA from 1 species